rnacentral:lncRNA from 1 species
UAUUUGGGGGAGAGUGCGUAGCUAGAAGAGGCUCUGCACUGAGAUCAGUGAUUGGCAUAGUGUAGGAAUUGUGCCUGUCAAUGUGAUCUGAGAAUAGACAGGAAAACUAUCCCUUAAAAAUUAAUGACAAGGAUAAAGAGGAAUGAUACAGUCCUCCAAUGAAGUCUGAAGAAAUGGGUGGAAAUUAAUUCCUAGUGGCCAACAGUAAAGCAAAUAAAUUGCUUUUUUUCACACUUAUGGCUUGGAAAAUAAAAUUCAAAUCCUCAAACUCCCAGUUGCCAAAAUGAAUAACAAUAAUUAUAGGAAGCUUGCUACAUAAUGGUCAUUUUAAUUACCAUGUUUUUGCUUCUGUGAUAUAAUUAGUUGUUUCUUAUUUUUUAUUUUUUAUUUUUUUUUGAAAAAUUUGAAGGAGAGAUUUUCCAGCUGGCUUUAGGUCUUGUGUAUUCUAAUGAGUAUGAUUAUACAUUCCCAGCAACAAUGUUCAGAAUCCAAGGAAGUAAGGAGGAUUAGACCCUGAACAUCUUGUAUCUCAAGAGUGUCCGAUGACAAGUUUGCUAAAGCCAGUUCCACAGGCCUUUUUCAGUGAUUGAGCCAGUGGAGGACAAAAUAAACUCCGAUCUCCUUUUGUCAUUGGCAGAGAUGACUGGCCGUGCUGAAAGUUGUGCUCUCCCGGGACACGGAUAUGGGAACCUGGCUUUGGUUAAUUGAGGGCAGCUUCUUCCAGUAAGUGAUGAAACUGUAUCUGUCAGAGUUGCUAAUAAGUUUUCUACCCUGUUGGUUGAUUGGACAAAAAGGAUGAGAUCAAGGACUCAGAAGUUAGUUUUUGACUCGGUAAAAUUGCCCUGAGACAACAAGUGAUAUUACAUGGAUUUCUAAGAGAGUUUUGUUGCUAAUAACAGAAAUAAUUUCCUAGAAUUCAUUUAACAAAUAUCUAAUGAGUUCCUAUUAUGUGUUGUACAUUAUUCUAAGAAAAAAUACAGUAAUAAACAAA